GUGCCAGCCGCCGCGGUAAUACGUAGGUGGCAAGCGUUGUCCGGAUUUAUUGGGCGUAAAGCGCGCGCAGGCGGCUAUGUAAGUCUGGUGUUAAAGCCCGGAGCUCAACUCCGGUUCGCAUCGGAAACUGUGUAGCUUGAGUGCAGAAGAGGAAAGCGGUAUUCCACGUGUAGCGGUGAAAUGCGUAGAGAUGUGGAGGAACACCAGUGGCGAAGGCGGCUUUCUGGUCUGUAACUGACGCUGAGGCGCGAAAGCGUGGGGAGCAAACAGGAUUAGAUACCCUGGUAGUCCACGCCGUAAACGAUGAGUGCUAGGUGUUGGGGGUUUCAAUACCCUCAGUGCCGCAGCUAACGCAAUAAGCACUCCGCCUGGGGAGUACGCUCGCAAGAGUGAAACUUAAAGGAAUUGACGG
rnacentral:rRNA from 1 species